UGGGGUUUGGCUCAGUGGUAGAGCACUUGCCUAGCAUGUGUGAGGCACUGGGUUCAAUUCUCAGCACCACAU
rnacentral:tRNA from 1 species